rfam:Streptomyces sp. MnatMP-M17 genome assembly, contig: Ga0115259_10965
CGAGCCGGGCGGACGGCCGCGUGGAGGUCCCUGUGGAUCUCCCCGAGGAACGUCCGGACUCCACACGGCAGGGUGGUGGGUAACGCCCACCCGGGGUGACCCGCGGGACAGUGCCACAGAAAACAGACCGCCGGGGACCCAGGUCCCCGGUAAGGGUGAAACGGUGGUGUAAGAGACCACCAGUGCCCAGGGUGACCUGGGCAGCUAGGUAAACCCCACCCGGAGCAAGGUCAAGAGGGGCCACCGCGAGGCGGCCCUGCGCGGACGAUCGAGGGCUGCCCGCCCGAGUCCGCGGGUAGACCGCACGAGACCGGCGGCAACGCCGGCCCUAGAUGGAUGGCCGUCUCCCGGCCGGCCGCGAGGCCGCCCGGCGACAAAAUCCGGCGUACAGCCCGACUCGUCUG